GCUUCGAUAGCUCAGUGGUAGAGCGAGAGAUUGCAGUGCAAUCGCAACUAUCUCUAGGUCACGUGUUCGAACCACGUUCGGAGCU
rfam:Magnaporthe oryzae 70-15 chromosome 3, whole genome shotgun sequence.